rnacentral:rRNA from 1 species
GUGCCAGCAGCCGCGGUAAUACGUAGGUGGCAAGCGUUGUCCGGAUUUAUUGGGUUUAAAGGGUGCGUAGGCGGUUUUAUAAGUCAGUGCUGAAAUAUCCCGGCUUAACCGGGAGGGUGGCAUUGAUACUGUAAGACUUGAGUCGAGUUGAGGUUGGCGGAAUUGACGGUGUAGCGGUGAAAUGCUUAGAUAUCGUCAAGAACACCGAUAGUGAAGACAGCUAACUAAGCUCAAACUGACGCUGAGGCACGAAAGUGUGGGGAUCAAACAGGAUUAGAUACCCUGGUAGUCC